CAAAAAGAGACGCAGACAGUGGACGGGUCUCGCAGCGACAAGAUGUUGGCACGCUGCCAAACAUGCAGUGAUUCUUUUUUAUUCGAAUUUGGCUGCAUUUAUUUUCGAUUUAACCUGAAUUUUACAUGUUUUAUCUGAUUUUUAUCGAUUUUAAACGAAAUUUCGAUAAAAAUCUAACUUUUUCUAAUAGUUUAUGCCUUUUCGAUAGAUUU
ensembl:ncRNA M28.13 ncRNA